ACAAUCUUCAAUGGCGGAAAGACCCCGAGCCGGAUGCAAGCCUGCCUUUAUAUCCACCCGGGCGUCGUGGCCUGUUUCUAUUGGUCAAUGCCAGCCUGCAUCAUUCUGACGAGCCAAGCGCCUCAUCUGCGCAUGCGCAAACCACCGUCGCCGGCGGACUCAAACCCUGAAUUCAUGUAGGGCAUGAAGAACCCGGAAAUAAUGGUGCGUGACAAAGUGCCUCACAGAGAAGAAGAGAUUUGAGUUGGCCUUGACGAAACACGAGGAGAAAAAUCAAGAGGGAAGGAAGGAGCCCAAGAGGGAGGGCAUGAUGACUUCAGGUGCGCUGAGACGGAGUUCCCGGCAGCAGGAGUUUGUCAGAUCCGGAACAUGAGAGAGGAGACAUCUGCUCUGGAAAGGGUACAAUCACGUGAAGUCUAAAGCUCCCUCCACCACUGUCCAGCUGUCACCGCCCUGCUCCACAGAAGAGUUUUCUGAGGUCAGUGACAGCACGAUGGCCCGACUCCUGCUGCAACUUCCAAAAACAAGACUCACCCCCAGAAUUCUCAUUUCUAAGACCACUCGGAUCUUCUUUCUCUGACCUGCCCUCACUACCAGUCUUUUUUAAUUUGUGCUUUCUCCUCUGGAUGGAUAUAUCUUCGCUUGUGGUCUCACCUGUUUCUUACAAGCUGAUAAUUCUGAAGAUCCACCUCUAGCUCUGAACUCAGUUCUGAGUUUCAGAUGAUUUGGCUCCAUCUAUCUGGGUGUGCAGAGGCCCCUAAGUAAACAAGUCUAAAUCCAAAUCCAUCUGUUUCUCACCUCUUCCCUAAAUUCUCCCUCCCUGAGAAAAUGCCUAGAUGUUUAUCAACCUAAGAGUUACCCACAAUUUUAUCACCAAGCCAAGGCAGUAAAUAAUCCCAAAGAUACAGAGUAAUACAGGGGAUGCGUGUGACACCUCUGAAAACAAGCAAGCAAAAACACUGAAGAAUAACCCGAAAGAUUAUUGAAUAAAGAAGCAUGCUAAAAUAGUGAAUUUAAGCGGUAUCUUUGAGACAACUUGGGGAAGACCAGACAAGCCUAACAAUUAAGAAAUAAUUAACUGAUGGUAUUUGCUUGGAUUCAGUUUGCUUAGUUAGGUCUAGUAUUUCCAAUUGAAAAGAUCAAAGGACGUCAUUACCUGGAAUGUGGUAUUUACUAUGGGCUUGGUGGACUUGCUGUUGGAUCUGCCCAGCGUAGCAGGAACAUGCUGUACAGGAGUGAGAGAUUCGCAACUUUUCCUGCUUGCUGUGGAGAGGACCUUACUGGGGCAGACACCACAGUGUAAGAGUCCUGCAGGAACCAGAGGAAAAGCCAGGAAGAGAAGGCAGAUGCUAAGAAACCUCACUUGUUCCCUGCACUAAGCAAAGUCAUGUCACUUUUGACACAUCAUUCCAAAAUGGAAGAGAACUAGCCCAGGGAUUUAGCUCAGUGCACCACACCUGCCUGCCAAGCACAAGGUCCUGAGUUCAGUCCCCAGAAACCAAAAAAAAAAAAGAAAGAGAAAGAACUGGAUUCUAGUCAAUAUCCCCAGGCCCGAUACAUAGAUUAUUCAUAUUCUACCCAGUCUGGCCUUGGUCAAAAGACUUAAAUUUUCUGAGACUAUUUCCAGAUCUAAAAAUGGACCAUCUCACAGUUAAAAAAAAAAGUCAACUCAAAAAUCAA